AUUUGAAGAGCUUGCUCAGAUAUGACGAUGGACAUUGCAAAGAGUGGCGAACGGGUGAGUAACACGUGGGAAACCUACCUCUUAGCAGGGGAUAACAUUUGGAAACAGAUGCUAAUACCGUAUAACAAUGACAACCGCAUGGUUGUUAUUUAAAAGAUGGUUCUGCUAUCACUAAGAGAUGGUCCCGCGGUGCAUUAGCUAGUUGGUAAGGUAAUGGCUUACCAAGGCGAUGAUGCAUAGCCGAGUUGAGAGACUGAUCGGCCACAAUGGGACUGAGACACGGCCCAUACUCCUACGGGAGGCAGCAGUAGGGAAUCUUCCACAAUGGGCGAAAGCCUGAUGGAGCAACGCCGCGUGUGUGAUGAAGGGUUUCGGCUCGUAAAACACUGUUGUAAGAGAAGAAUGACAUUGAGAGUAACUGUUCAAUGUGUGACGGUAUCUUACCAGAAAGGAACGGCUAAAUACGUGCCAGCAGCCGCGGUAAUACGUAUGUUCCAAGCGUUAUCCGGAUUUAUUGGGCGUAAAGCGAGCGCAGACGGUUAUUUAAGUCUGAAGUGAAAGCCCUCAGCUCAACUGAGGAAUUGCUUUGGAAACUGGAUGACUUGAGUGCAGUAGAGGAAAGUGGAACUCCAUGUGUAGCGGUGAAAUGCGUAGAUAUAUGGAAGAACACCAGUGGCGAAGGCGGCUUUCUGGACUGUAACUGACGUUGAGGCUCGAAAGUGUGGGUAGCAAACAGGAUUAGAUACCCUGGUAGUCCACACCGUAAACGAUGAGUGCUAGGUGUUUGAGGGUUUCCGCCCUUAAGUGCCGCAGCUAACGCAUUAAGCACUCCGCCUGGGGAGUACGACCGCAAGGUUGAAACUCAAAGGAAUUGACGGGGACCCGCACAAGCGGUGGAGCAUGUGGUUUAAUUCGAAGCAACGCGAAGAACCUUACCAGGUCUUGACAUCCCUUGACAACUCCAGAGAUGGAGCGUUCCCUUCGGGGACAAGGUGACAGGUGGUGCAUGGUUGUCGUCAGCUCGUGUCGUGAGAUGUUGGGUUAAGUCCCGCAACGAGCGCAACCCUUAUUACUAGUUGCCAGCAUUCAGUUGGGCACUCUAGUGAGACUGCCGGUGACAAACCGGAGGAAGGUGGGGAUGACGUCAAAUCAUCAUGCCCCUUAUGACCUGGGCUACACACGUGCUACAAUGGCGUAUACAACGAGUUGCCAACCCGCGAGGGUGAGCUAAUCUCUUAAAGUACGUCUCAGUUCGGAUUGUAGGCUGCAACUCGCCUACAUGAAGUCGGAAUCGCUAGUAAUCGCGGAUCAGCACGCCGCGGUGAAUACGUUCCCGGGUCUUGUACACACCGCCCGUCACACCAUGAGAGUUUGUAACACCCAAAGCCGGUGGGGUAACCUUCGGGAGCCAGCCGUCUAAGUGACAAGAAUU
rnacentral:rRNA from 1 species